AUUGAACGCUAGCGGGAUGCUUUACACAUGCAAGUCGAACGGCAGCGCGGACUUCGGUCUGGCGGCGAGUGGCGAACGGGUGAGUAAUGUAUCGGAACGUGCCCAGUAGCGGGGGAUAACUACGCGAAAGCGUAGCUAAUACCGCAUACGCCCUACGGGGGAAAGCAGGGGAUCGUAAGACCUUGCACUAUUGGAGCGGCCGAUAUCGGAUUAGCUAGUUGGUGAGGUAACGGCUCACCAAGGCGACGAUCCGUAGCUGGUUUGAGAGGAAGAGCAGCCACACUGGGACUGAGACACGGCCCAGACUCCUACGGGAGGCAGCAGUGGGGAAUUUUGGACAAUGGGGGCAACCCUGAUCCAGCCAUCCCGCGUGUGCGAUGAAGGCCUUCGGGUUGUAAAGCACUUUUGGCAGGAAAGAAACGUCGCGGGCUAAUACCCCGUGGAACUGACGGUACCUGCAGAAUAAGCACCGGCUAACUACGUG
rnacentral:rRNA from 1 species